CAGGGAAUAUUGCACAAUGGGCGAAAGCCUGAUGCAGCAACGCCGCGUGCGGGAUGAAGGCCUUCGGGUUGUAAACCGCUUUCAGUAGGGAAGAAAAUGACGGUACCUACAGAAGAAGCCCCGGCCAACUACGUGCCAGCAGCCGCGGUAACACGUGGGGGGCAAGCGUUGUCCGGAUUUAUUGGGCGUAAAGGGCUCGUAGGCGGCUUGACAAGUCGGGCGUGAAAACCCGGGGCUCAACCCCGGGACGCCGUUCGAAACUGUCAUGGCUAGUGUCCGGUAGAGGUGAGCGGAAUUCUCGGUGUAGCGGUGAAAUGCGCAGAUAUCGAGAGGAACACCAGUAGCGAAGGCGGCUCACUGGGCCGGUACAGACGCUGAGGAGCGAAAGCGUGGGGAGCAAACAGGAUUAGAUACCCUGGUAGUCCACGCUGUAAACGUUGAACACUAGGUGUGGUGGACAGAUCCAUGUCUGCCGUGCCGAAGCUAACGCAUUAAGUGUUCCGCCUGGGGAGUACGGCCGCAAGGCUA
rnacentral:rRNA from 1 species